CGACAAUUUACUUAGCUGAUUCGUGCGGAUUCGUACCCCGGCAAAGCCACAAGUUCCUUCGCAAAGGAAACAAACAACAAUCGUGCUUUUAUCUGCAUUUCAUGUCUUGCUCCAGGGUCCAAGCAAAGAAGUCCAAACAAUUUGUUUUGUUUUUGCUCCGUCGAGGAGGAUGCCAUGGGUUGAUAGAUGUGUGGAGGAUGAAACCGACAACAGAACCUCUAAUUACUGAAGCCAGGUUGACAACAGCUGUGACAACAUCAACAUGAUUUGAUGCAAUCUCAAAGGUAGAUAGCUCUAGGGCACGGCUUUGCUGAUCAAAAAGACGGGCGAGACUGAAGAAAAAAUUGAGAGAAAAAGAAAACAUAUGUGGUGAGUGGGGGGAUCACAAACGAGGUAUUUGGCUCAACGGAGCAAUGCUGGCAGAAAUAAAGUCUCUGUGAGUGCCCAACGAGUCUGCCGACUAAUGCCAAUUUCAGUCUGACCAGUGAAGCAAACCAGCAGAAAUACUUGGACAGCGCUCCUUGGAUUGGCAUCCAAAAGACGUCGGACAUAUUCCUCCGUCGUCACUGAUGGAGCUCAUUACUCCUAUUUUUAUGUUUUCAAGAUUGCAAAAAGCGAGCCUCAAUCACAAUCACCCAGUCGCGCUUAAAUUUUUUUUGUGCAGUCCUUAGGUGCCUACUAUUAGGAAUGAACAGUAGUUUUCGAUAAGAAGAU
rnacentral:sRNA from 2 species